UAGGUGGAUGAGUGGCGAACGGGUGAGUAAUACGUGAGUAACCUGCCCUUGACUCUGGGAUAAGCCUGGGAAACUGGGUCUAAUACUGGAUAUGACCUCCUGUCGCAUGGUGGGGGGUGGAAAGGGUUUGUACUGGUUGUGGAUGGGCUCACGGCCUAUCAGCUUGUUGGUGGGGUAAUGGCCUACCAAGGCGACGACGGGUAGCCGGCCUGAGAGGGUGACCGGCCACACUGGGACUGAGACACGGCCCAGACUCCUACGGGAGGCAGCAGUGGGGAAUAUUGCACAAUGGGCGCAAGCCUGAUGCAGCGACGCCGCGUGAGGGAUGACGGCUUCGGGUUGUAAACCUCUUUCAGCACGGAAGAAGCGAA
rnacentral:rRNA from 1 species